UGCCGGUGAUGAACACAGCCAUGCUAAUACUGAGAGAAGACACUCGUUUUCCACUGAGUACACAUUUUCUCAAGUUCUGAGGCAA
ensembl:snoRNA